UACGUAGGGUGCGAGCGUUGUCCGGAAUUAUUGGGCGUAAAGAGCUCGUAGGCGGUUUGUCGCGUCGACUGUGAAAACCUACAGCUUAACUGUGGGCUUGCAGUCGAUACGGGCAGACUUGAGUUCGGUAGGGGAGACUGGAAUUCCUGGUGUAGCGGUGAAAUGCGCAGAUAUCAGGAGGAACACCGGUGGCGAAGGCGGUCUGCUGGGGUCGAACUGACGCUGAGGCGCGACAGCGUGGGGAGCAAACAGG
rnacentral:rRNA from 1 species